rnacentral:rRNA from 1 species
UACGGAGGGGGCUAGCGUUGUUCGGAAUUACUGGGCGUAAAGAGCUCGUAGGCGGUCUGUCGCGUCGGAUGUGAAAACCCAGGGCUCAACCCUGGGCCUGCAUUCGAUACGGGCAGACUAGAGUUCGGUAGGGGGAGACUGGAAUUCCUGGUGUAGCGGUGAAAUGCGCAGAUAUCAGGAGGAACACCGGUGGCGAAGGCGGGCUACUGGGCCGAUACUGACGCUGAGGAGCGAAAGCGUGGGGGAGCGAACAGG